rnacentral:tRNA from 1 species
GACGACGAAGCUCAGUGGGAGAGUGCAGGGCUUUGCCUUGAGGUUGCUGGUUCGACUCCAGCCGUCGCCA